GGGGAGGGACUUACAUUCCCCAUUACAUGCAGCUUAGUAUAAUACAAAGAUUACAUAACAAGUUCAAUGCAACCAGAGAAAGGCUAGGCGGGUGGUCAGAACCUGUUAGGAUAAGGCAGUGAAGACUCAACUUCUUCGAAUGACAUUCAGUAUGUUCUCACCAAUUAUUUCCCGAGCCAGAAAUAUCCGUGAUGAGCUGCUUGCUAUCAAACACAUCUCUCAGGGGUCCUUGGAGAAUUUCAUUCACUACUCCUUCUUCCAUGUCAAUCAAAACGGCCUGGAAAGAGAAGCUAAAUUUAACAUCUUGUCUCUGGUAAUUUAUAAAUUCAAGAAUCCAUGAGCUUCAAAGACUACUCACCAACAACCAGAAGGGAAAAACAAACUUGCAGAGAAACAACAAACUCAAAUUUUACUGCCAUGUUACAAAGCAAGAAUCCCAGAAUAUGUAUCUUACUCGUGCUUUUAAAGAAGAUAUUCUUCCUUUGGAAAUACUGCUGCCAUCACCAGCCACUCUGAAACACAAAGAAAUUGAGAAAGGGUCACAAGAUUUCCCAGGGCCGGUAGUGUUCACUUUCAUUUCCACACCAAGGCAGCUCUGCCCUCCUAUCACCACUGGUCCAAGGAAUCAAACUCCAGUGCCAGCUCGGCAGCAGGCACCCUGACCUGCUGAGCCAGUCCUAGUGUCUGCUCUUGAGGCGUUUCCAGUUUUGUGAGAGAACCUCUACUACCGGCGGAUUUCUACCAUGCUACUAAAGAGGACUGGCAGGCAGGUGCCCACAAAGAUGUGGCAGGAGUUUUCACAAGGAGUUUUGGGUACCAAACCUGGGGGCCAGAGGCUGUACUGACAGCACAGAGGGAAGAGCCAGACGCACGCCCAUGCCUUUCCCUCCUCUCCACACUCCAGGCUGAGGAAAUCCGAAAGCUUUCA